UACAGAGGGGGCAAGCGUUAUUCGGAAUUAUUGGGCGUAAAGGGCGCGUAGGCGGUUCUUCAAGUCUCUCGUGAAAUCCCUCGGCUUAACUGAGGACGUGCGGGAGAUACUGAAGGGCUUGAGUCCGGAAGAGGGUGGUGGAAUUCCCAGUGUAGCGGUGAAAUGCGUAGAUAUUGGGGAGGAACACCGGGUGGCGAAGGCGGCCACCUGGGCCGGAACUGACGCUGAGGCGCGAAAGCUAGGGGAGCAAACGGG
rnacentral:rRNA from 1 species